UCAGGAUAGCUGGAACUUGUAGAAAUAGUUUUAUCAGGUAAAGCGAAUGAUUAGAAGCUCUGGGGAUGAAACAUCCUCGACUUAUUCUCAAACUUUAAAUAGGUAAGAUGAUUGCAGUACUUAAUUGACUGUCAGUCUCUUGAAUAGAAAGUUCUUAGUGGGCCAUUUUUGGUAAGCAGAACUGGCGAUGUGGGAUGAACCAAACGUAAAGUUAAAGUGCCUAAAAAUACGUUCAUCAGACACCACAAAAGGUGUUGAUUCAUCUUGACAGUUGGACAGUGGCCAUGGAAGUCGGAAUCUGCUAAGGAGUGUGUAACAACUCACCAACCGAAUGAAUUAGCCCUGAAAAUGGAUGGCGCUUAAACGUAUUACUUAUACUUUACCAUUAAGAUAAAUGCUAAAUCUUAAUGAGUAGGAGGG
rnacentral:rRNA from 1 species